CACAUUUAAUUUUAGGGUAGUAUAACAUCUGACUAACACCUGAAUAAGUGUUAAAUCCCUUCAUCGUGGUUUUGUUGUUCAUAUCUUUUGACAGUUAACAAUGGAUCAAAUUUAGGUAGGAAAAGCUCAUGUGAUGUCAAAACCAGCUAUAAAAAAUGUUUUGUACAUUUCAGAGCUUUGGUUUGCUUUAACAGCUUUCUUUCCCUUCAUUCAUUCAUAUCUUGUAGCAUCUAUUAAAAUGAAUGGCUGAGUGAAAAUCUGGUAUGGUCAUGAAAAGACCAUUUUCUGCGAAAAUCUUGUACAUUAUCAGACAUCAGGGCACAGAUGUGAACUAGAUUACCCCACGCUCCCCCUAAUAUUCUUCUCCUGCUCUCUCUCUCUCCCUCACUCUCCUGACCACAAAAGAAAGAAAUCAUUGAGUUUCUGCCUUUUUAUAAACACUCCCUCUCCUUCCAGUAGUCUCCAAAUAGGGACACAGAUUUUUCAGGUUCCCAAACUUUGUUGGAAGAAGUGAAAAGAAGUCUAAGGCAGGCUGAUUAUGUGUGCUCCACUUCUCUGCUUCUGAAUGGCAGAGCAAAGAACAGUGCUUUGAACAUUUUGACCAGACACAUGGCUCUACAUUGUGACAUGGCAGAAGAUUCUGAUGAGGUCAGAGCUUUGCAACAGUGGUGAUUGUGUGGAAAAGCUGUGUCCAGCUUUGAGGGGCUCAAGAGGGACCUCCCAUUUGUCAUUGCUUGGGUUCUCCAUCCCAGCUCACAGAGGUUCCUCCCUCUUCUGGGUCAUGAUGAGGCUUCACUCUACGCUGGGCACUUGGCUCUUCACACUCCUAGUGAUGCCAGUCUACUGCCAGAGUGGUGAUAAUGGAGAGUGGGGAUCAGGUGACGUCUCUGGGACUGUGGUCACUGGCAACUCCUCCACUUCAAUCUUCCAUGCAGUGGGGGAUGAGCCAGACAGGACCAGGCCAGUUUUUCAGAGCCUGUCAGAGACAGAAGGCGGUGACUGUUAUGUCAACUUUCACACCAGCCAAGUCAUGUCAAGGCGCUUACGAGCUUUCAGCCAAGUCAUGUCAAGGCGCUUACGAGCUUUCAGAGAGGAAGUUGCUUAUCUAAAGGCCCUUCAACAUGGGAACCAGGCAGUGAUGGAGAAUCUGGUCCAGUUUGUUGGAGCAGAGAUGGGAGAUCAACGCUACGAGGAGGUGAUCCAAGAGAACAUUGUUGGAAUCAGAGAGGAUCACAUGAGCUGUGAGAGCGUGGUGACAAAAGCAGCAGAGGAGCUGGAGAGUCAGCUGGAGGGAGAUGCUCAAUCCACUUUGGCUGGAAUUCAGAAAAUAAAAGAGGAGUCCCUUUCCUUUGAAGAAAUGCUGCGUACCGCGACGGACAUCGCCACUCGACUGGAGAGCUCCUCACGAACCCUGCAUGUAGAGAUGAUCAAACAGCUGAGGAAGAACAUGAGACAGCCGCGCAAAACUAAAUGAUUCAGUGGGAAACCCUCCAACCUGGAAAAAACAGAUAAAAGUGUUAUAUGACAACCCUGCAGCUAUGGUCUAGAUGUCUUGGCGCUAGGGAGCAGAUGGUGAAAAGACUGAGGGUCUGGAAUUCAGCAAGCAUGAACUCUUAUACGUUGGAGAGAGAGAGCAAGAUGGAAAUGAAAAAAGAAAGAAAGAAAAAAAACAUGGCAGUGAUGUCACUGAGAAAUAAAUAAAAACAUGACUUGGCAGCUUGAAGCCAGAAUCUAAAAGAAUCAGAAGAAAGAAUCUGAAAUUGUUGCGACUGAAGAAUGUUAUUUUAAAAUAUAUUGUGAUUACUCGAGUAUGAUUAAAUAUACUGUAAGUAUACUAUUAAAAGUGUAUUACUCUGGUCAGUUGUGGUCACUUUUGCUGUAUGUGUAUUUUUGAAGGGAUUUCUGUGUGUACAGUAUACUGGCAGCUAUUAUGUUCAUAGAUACAGAUUGUGUGAAAGAAUGAAUUUCAGUGACAUCAACUAAAUACAAUACUGAGUGUUGUAUAUUUAUAUACUGUUAAUGGGGGUUAUAGUCAUUCUUUAUGUGGAAUUGCUGAAUAUGAUAUUCACUAAAAGUGAAUACGAGGGUUUCCAAUUUUAAAAAAAAGUACAAUUAGAGAAGGUAUUUUUUCAAGCCAUCCCUCUGCUAGAAAUUGCUCGUUGAGAGUGUGAACUCUUUAAAUUGUUUAAAAAUAAAAGCCCCACAAACAACUGUACAGUAGUGUCAUUGAAAAGCCAUAGAUAUUUAUGGUGCUUAUGUUAGUAAAAUGUAUGUAAAAAUAGCAAUGAGACAUAAUUACUACCUUCUUACUUGUGCAUUCAUAAUUACCGUCUUAUGUGUUUAAGCUGCGUUAGAAUUAUUAAUAAUAGAUGUCUCUCUCUGUCUCUAAACUGCAUUUCAGUUUCACCUUCUGAGUUCUCAGCAUUUAUUCAUCCACCCUGACCUCUAGCGGAGUUUAACUGCAAUAACAAUUCAAUCACUUGCAAUAGGUUUGGCCCUGAUUUGACAAGGAUCUUCUCCAUACGAGUUCGCGAAAGUAUCCAUUAAUCUUGAGUUAAUUAUGUUGUUUUUAAUUGAAAAAGAAAAUUCGUUCAGAUUUGUUGAACAGACAUCGGACAAUUUGAAAAGUGGUCAAGCUCGUGAACUUGUGAUGUGUUCCCUCCCUCCCUUUCUGUCUGACAUGAAAGUGGGUAGGCGGACUGAGAUAGAGAUGCUCAGUCUGUAGUAAACCCUGGAAACAGCAGGAGCCAGGUCAUGAGUGCAUCUAGACACUGUGUGAGACGAAUGGAGUUACUCUGGGAUAUAUCUGCUUCUAAAAAUACUUCUUUUUCGGAUGCGUAUGGAGAUAAAUAAUACUUUUGCAGCACGGAAUCUGAUCUUCCGCUGAACAGGUGCGCAAAACUUAAGCCCAUCAUCGUGCUUUUUCACGUAGAGAGAAAUAAAACUUCAGGGUUGGAUAAAUAUGGAAGAACACUGGAUUUAUGCUACGAAAAACUAAUUUUUGCCAACCCUUUUAAUACACGAGAUUAAAAAAACUUGUCGAGCACAUCUAACCCUAAAUACAACCAGCAGAGGAUGCAGAGUAUGACACCACAACCGAAAACACAGAAGCCACUGAAUUAUACGGAAACUGUCGCGUGGAAUGCAGAUGAAAAUAUAGAAAUGUAUUGAAAGUAAUUGGCUGUAUGAUGGAGCGCUUUCAGUAUCAGCGGUUCUUCCUGAGGAUUUCUCUUCUCUGCACUAUCCUAUGUGAGUCAGGUAAGUUUCACUUCUGAUUUGUUUCACAUUUUUCCACAAAUAUUGCUUAAGAAAGAAACCAAAGAGACUCGUGGAACAUGGUACUGUAGCUGGUCUCUAGUCCAAACUGACUAUUAAUUGUAUAAACUGAUUUUGACUGCUCAUUUCCAAACAAAAAUAAAUAAAAACCUUCCUAGCCUUCCUUAAUCUGGUUAUAAUAGCGGUUUUGAUGCUGGUCUAAAAUGGUCUGUCAACUUAAACCAGUUUUGGUCACCCUAAGCCAGAAUCUUUUCUAGAAAAGAGUCUUAAAAAUAAGACACAAAGUUUAUAUUUGAUUGUUUUACUUGUGUAUUUUAGGCAUUUCCAACGUGCAUUGAUUAAUUUGAUCAAUUUGAUUCAUUGUCAGUUAAGAACAAACUGCCUCUGCUUAAAAAUCUCAAAACAUCCAGUUUAAUCUGGUUUUCAGCAGGUCACAAUGGGAGACCAGUUUAUCUUAAACCAGCAAACCACCAUGAGCUGGUUUAAGAUGCAAAUACUUUCACAUAUCCACAGUCAGAGAUGUGUAGGCAUUAGAAUGGCACGCACGAUUGCCAGUAAAAUUAAAUGUCCUCUCCACGGCCAAGCUGGCGCUUAAAUCAAGGCAGAUUUAUUGGGCUUGCUCAUCACUCUGCGUUUACGCUCGCACUCUCCACGAGCGCUGCUCGCUGUCAGCAGCCGCUGGACUCCUGAUGAAUGAAUAUCACUGCGGGCAUCUGAUGAGCUUGCAGCUGGAUGCACUUUACCAUCGCUAUUUGCAUCGGAUUUGCUCAAGAACAUCCCGAGCUCUGGAAAGUUUCCAGAGUUUAACAGAGAUACAAGAAAAAGAAGGUCGCCAUCCAAUUUCAGGUCCGAGGCUUUGAUCUAACAGCCUACAAGUCUGUAUAGUGAAAUCCGUCCACCUGCUCUGCUCCUCACAGACUGGAGAGCGGGUGCGCUGUUAUCGCUGUUUGAGCGGCUGCAGAACUGACGCACACGUCACCGUUCCAAACUGGAAUUGAGAACGAGCCUAGAAUUUCGAUGUUCUUUUAGUGACAUACAAAAAUUAUCACGUUAACCAGUUUCUGUAGUAGCCUACAGUAAUUGCUACUUAAGAAAAAAUCACUGUAAUGAAUUAAAUUAUAGGUCUACACCUUUUAGUUAUAGGGUACAUGUAGGCCUACUAAAUUAAACAUUUGUAGAAUAAAACUUUUAUUAUACAAAAUAAUAUUUUAAAGUAAAAUUGUGGUGCAAUAGUUAUAUUUAUAAGUUCGCUGCGCUUUGAAUUUAAUUACUGAUGAAGACAAUUAGACAGUCACCUUAACAACAUUUUUGCAGUGUAAAAGCUU
rnacentral:lncRNA from 1 species